rnacentral:snRNA from 1 species
AUCGCUUCUCGGCCUUUUGGCUAGAUCAAGUGUAGUAUCUGUUCUUAUCAGUUUAAUAUCUGAUACGUCCCCCAUCGGGGGACUAUACAUAUUAAAUGGAUUUUUCGAACAGGGAGUCGGAAGCGGGGCUUGCUCCGUCCGCUCCACGCAUCGACUCGGUAUUGCAGUACCUCCGAGAACGGUGCACCCUCU